CAGUCGCCGCGGGAAUACGUAGGGUGCAAGCGUUAAUCGGAAUUACUGGGCGUAAAGCGUGCGCAGGCGGUUAUAUAAGACAGAUGUGAAAUCCCCGGGCUCAACCUGGGAACUGCAUUUGUGACUGUAUAGCUAGAGUACGGCAGAGGGGGAUGGAAUUCCGCGUGUAGCAGUGAAAUGCGUAGAUAUGCGGAGGAACACCGAUGGCGAAGGCAAUCCCCUGGGCCUGUACUGACGCUCAUGCACGAAAGCGUGGGGAGCAAACAGGAUUAGAUACCCCAGUAGUCCCUGUCUCUUAUCC
rnacentral:rRNA from 1 species